AGUGAACGCUGGCGGCAGGCCUAAUACAUGCAAGUCGAACGGCAGCACAGCAGAGCUUGCUCUGUGGGUGGCGAGUGGCGGACGGGUGAGGAAUACAUGGGAAUCUGCCCAGUCGUGGGGGAUAACGUAUGGAAACGUACGCUAAUACCGCAUGCGCCCUACGGGGGAAAGUCGGGGACCGCAAGGCCUGGCGCGAUUGGAUGAGCCCAUGUUCGAUUAGCUAGUUGGCGGGGUAAAGGCCCACCAAGGCGACGAUCGAUAGCUGGUCUGAGAGGAUGAUCAGCCACACUGGAACUGAGACACGGUCCAGACUCCUACGGGAGGCAGCAGUAGGGGAAUAUUGGACAAUGGGGGCAACCCUGAUCCAGCCAUGCCGCGUGAGUGAAGAAGGCCCUCGGGUUGUAAAGCUCUUUUGUCCGGAAGAAAGCAAUCGGUUAAUACCCGGUUGUUCUGACGGUACCGGAAGAAUAAGCACCGGCUAACUUCGUGCC
rnacentral:rRNA from 1 species